AAAUUUUUGCAACUUUGGAACUCUUCAAAGCAGAGAAACUAUUCAGAAAUCCUUCUUUUAGACUUCAGCUUUAUAUCCUUCCAUUUUGUACAUAAACCACUCUCAUUGUAAUUAUGCUUAUUUUAAUCGACCUAAAAUAGCUUUUGUUCUUCAAUUCAUAGGUCCUUGGCAUUUCCAUCUUUCAAGCUACAAAACAUGCAGGUUCAGGUGGAGAACUGAGGAAAGACAGUUGUGCUGGGCUUCAGAAAAGAAUAUCCAAACGAGUUUUCAGUUGGCUACCCCUGCAUGACACUUGGAAUUUGUAAUCAACACCCGAGUGGCUUCUGGCAGGAGCUUGAAUACUUGAUGCAUGAGAGAAUUUGGGAUGAACAGCCAGUUGGAACAGGAAGAUGAAUGAUUCACUGAAUGACUGACUGACUGACUGAAAAGACACUGUAUGCAUGACUGUGUAAUCAUCCUUCUGAGCAUCAGUUUCCAGUCAGAACUGCAGAUGUCAAUGGAGGUGGAAACAAGACCCAGAAGAAAGGCAGUUUUUGAGAAUUUUCCAAUGUGA
rnacentral:lncRNA from 1 species